GGAUCCAGACUUUGAUUCUGGCUCAGGACGAACGCUGGCGGCGUGCCUAAUACAUGCAAGUCGAACGAAGCUUUCUUUCACCGAAUGCUUGCAUUCACCGAAAGAAGCUUAGUGGCGAACGGGUGAGUAACACGUAGGCAACCUGCCCAAAAGAGGGGGAUAACACUUGGAAACAGGUGCUAAUACCGCAUAACCAUGAACACCGCAUGAUGUUCAUGUAAAAGACGGCUUUUGCUGUCACUUUUGGAUGGGCCUGCGGCGUAUUAACUUGUUGGUGGGGUAACGGCCUACCAAGGUGAUGAUACGUAGCCGAACUGAGAGGUUGAUCGGCCACAUUGGGACUGAGACACGGCCCAAACUCCUACGGGAGGCAGCAGUAGGGAAUCUUCCACAAUGGACGAAAGUCUGAUGGAGCAACGCCGCGUGAAUGAAGAAGGCCUUCGGGUCGUAAAAUUCUGUUGUAAGAGAAGAACGUGCGUGAGAGUAACUGUUCACGUAUUGACGGUAUCUGACCAGAAAGCCACGGCUAACUACGUGCCAGCAGCCGCGGUAAUACGUAGGUGGCGAGCGUUGUCCGGAUUUAUUGGGCGUAAAGGGAACGCAGGCGGUCUUUUAAGUCUGAUGUGAAAGCCUUCGGCUUAACCGAAGUAGUGCAUUGGAAACUGGAAGACUUGAGUGCAGAAGAGGAGAGUGGAACUCCAUGUGUAGCGGUGAAGUGCGUAGAUAUAUGGAAGAACACCAGUGGCGAAAGCGGCUCUCUGGUCUGUAACUGACGCUGAGGUUCGAAAGCGUGGGUAGCAAACAGGAUUAGAUACCCUGGUAGUCCACGCCGUAAACGAUGAGUGCUAAGUGUUGGAGGGUUUCCGCCCUUCAGUGCUGCAGCUAACGCAUUAAGCACUCCGCCUGGGGAGUACGGUCGCAAGACUGCAACUCAAAUGAAUUGACGG
rnacentral:rRNA from 1 species